GACGAACGCUGGCGGCGUGCUUAACACAUGCAAGUCGAACGGAAAGGCCCUGCUUUUGUGGGGUGCUCGAGUGGCGAACGGGUGAGUAACACGUGAGUAACCUGCCCUUGACUUUGGGAUAACUUCAGGAAACUGGGGCUAAUACCGGAUAGGAGCUCCUGCUGCAUGGUGGGGGUUGGAAAGUUUCGGCGGUGGGGGAUGGACUCGCGGCUUAUCAGCUUGUUGGUGGGGUAGUGGCUUACCAAGGCUUUGACGGGUAGCCGGCCUGAGAGGGUGACCGGCCACCUUGGGACUGAGAUACGGCCCAGACUCCUACGGGAGGCAGCAGUGCGGAAUAUUGCACAAUGGGCGGAAGCCUGAUGCAGCAACGCCGCGUGCGGGAUGACGGCCUUCGGGUUGUAAACCGCUUUCGCCUGUGACGAAGCGUGAGUGACGGUAAUGGGUAAAGAAGCACCGGCUAACUACGUG
rnacentral:rRNA from 1 species